UGUUUACAUUAUUAUUUUCAGUUUUUUUUUUGACAUACUGCGAUAAAAAAAAAUGCUGCGCAAUUCAAAACGUGCGUUCCUAUUGCGACACCCUUUAGAUGAAUAGAUCCAGGGAAGGAUGUUAGAGGACAGAUCCUAGAUGUUGCCAAAAGCUCUCCUGCAGUCCCAUAGCACGCAGGUGGCCUUCCUAAUUCCCGAUUAGUACCAGGAGAGUUUGGAAUCCAAUGUAAUUCCCAGAAGUCGAACUGUCCUGGAGUAUUGCAAAUACACUCCACUCAAAGACACGCAGGUUUAACCUGUACCUUUGUCCACUAUACGCAGGGCCCUUAUUAUCGGCAUUCUUCUCAGCUGGGCAGAUACAUAAGGCGGCGAGAUCAUGGUUCUGAGCCGUGACACUCGAGGGCUUGGCAGAAUACUGCGAAGGGGCUGUUAUCAAAUUUAGAAAUUUCAGAAUGUAUAUAAAUUUAUUUAACAUAAGCACUAGAUUAACCAGAGAAAUUAAUAGCACUAACUUAUGACGACGCUAGUU